GACGAACGCUGGCGGUGUGCUUAACACAUGCAAGUCGAACGGUAAGGCCCUUUCGGGGGUACACGAGUGGCGCACGGGUGAGUAACACGUGAGUAACCUGCCCUCAUCUCUGGGAUAACAGUCGGAAACGGUUGCUAAUACUGGAUAUGAGCUUGCAAGGCAUCUUGUGGGUUGGAAAGAUUUUUUUGGUUGGGGAUGGACUCGCGGCCUAUCAGCUUGUUGGUGAGGUAGUGGCUCACCAAGGCUUCGACGGGUAGCCGGCCUGAGAGGGCGACCGGCCACAUUGGGACUGAGAUACGGCCCAAACUCCUACGGGAGGCAGCGGUGGGGAAUAUUGCACAAUGGACGGAAGUCUGAUGCAGCAACGCCGCGUGCGGGAUGACGGCCUUCGGGUUGUAAACCGCUUUCAAUUGUGACGAAGCUUUUUGUGACGGUAGCAGUAGAAGAAGCACCGGCUAACUACGUG
rnacentral:rRNA from 1 species